rnacentral:rRNA from 1 species
UACAGAGGGUGCAAGCGUUGUUCGGAAUUAUUGGGCGUAAAGCGCGUGUAGGCGGCUUUGCAAGUCGGGUGUGAAAGCCCUCAGCUCAACUGAGGAAGUGCAUCCGAAACUGGCGAGCUAGAGUACUAAAGAGGAUCGCGGAAUUCCCGGUGUAGAGGUGAAAUUCGUAGAUAUCGGGAGGAACACCGGUGGCGAAGGCGGCGAUCUGGGUAGAUACUGACGCUGAGGUGCGAAAGCGUGGGGAGCGAACAGG